rnacentral:lncRNA from 8 species
AUGCGACUUCCACUUACAUUCAUUCUGUUUUUCAAGUUAAAUUGGGGUCUUCCAAUUGACACGGUCAUUCUGUUCCAGCGGUCGGGAGUGGUCGGCGAGAUGGACACCGUCGAGCAGGUCUUGGUCAACGGAGCACCUCUCUCCAGCUGCGGGAAAUACGUCAGUGGCAUUCUCCGUGCUGUACUGCUGGGCAACGACAGCGAGUCUUUUCAACAGGCGUUCGAGAUGGAAGAAAAUGUCACCAACACCAUAACAAAAAAUCCUACUUACCAGUACCUGCGUGUGCGUGAAUGCAAACUGAAUGGAUUUCGAGUGGUGCAUUUGACCGACCAGCUCCUUGUCAACGGGAGUGACUUCCUGACUCUCGACCAAUCCACAGUCACCUGGACAGCUGAGGUACCACAGGCCCUCGCACUCAAACAGCUUUGGGACUGGGACACUGAGCGCACGAGGAGGGAGAGGAUGCAACUCCAUGAGAGCUGUACCGAACUGAUGAAGGAGCUCACACAUUCCGAGCCCACCACCAAUAGAGCAGGGAUGUCCCUGCUGACUGUCCUGGCUCCACUGCUUGCAAGCCUGGCCUUUGUUGCCGUGGUUAUUGCAAGCUUCCUCAUCGCUAAUCGACAAGAUCCCAGAGUUUCAGGACACCCUGGAGGUGUACUUGGCUCCAUUGUCCACUACCCUCAGAAUGUCACAGAAACACCUCAGGCCCCUCAAUCAGGAAAAGACUACCAGGUCCUCUAAAACUCAACCCUCCUCCCCUCAUCCACCUCUGAUGACCCCUGUUCCUUUCUAUUCUAGUUAGACAGUUUGCGCUGUUCUGGGAAGGGAGUUCUUUGUUUCUGGCCAUUUUGAGCCUGUAAUCCAACCCAAAAAUGCUGAUGCUCCAGAUACUCAACUAGUCUAAAGAAUGCCGUUAUAUUGCUUCUUUAAUUAGCACAACAGUUUUCGGCUGUGCUAACAUAAUUGCAAAAGGGUUUUCUAAUGAUAAAUUAGCCUUUUAAAAUGAAAAUCUUGGAUUAGCUAACACAACGUGUCAUUGGAACACAGGAGUGAUGGUUGCUGAUAAUGGGCCUCUGUAUGUCUAUGUAGAUAUACCAUUCAAAAUCAGCCAUUUCCAGCUACAAUAGUCAUUUACAACAUUAACAAUGUCUACACUGCCUUUCUGAUCAAUUUGAUGUUAUUUUAAUGGACAAAAGAAAAAGCAGAUUUAUCAAAAACAAGGAUAUUUCUUAAGUGACCCCAAACUUUUGAACGGUAGUGUAUGUACCCUGGUCCGUCCAACUCUCUAGUCCCCAUUGCUCCCUGGUCCUUCUUCCAACAAGGCCCCAUUCCUAUAGACCCAGGAGGAUUGUAGCCUACCAAAUAUUUAGAAUAUGACAGGAACUGUGACAUUCCAAUUUGUAUAACUCACUCUGUUGUGUGUGAUUUGAACUCUUGAAGUAGUUCAUAGGUAACCACAGGAAAAGGAUAUGAAGACAGUUUUAUGCACUUUAUAAUUGUUUCCUCACCUUUGCUCACCUUUGUAUUUCCUCACUUAUCUACCGGUGCCUAUGCUCUUCAGCCUUUGCUUUAGAGCUUAUGUCUAUACAGACAGAGUAACACUCUGUGUUCACGCUCGAUAGCUCAAAACUACUGUAACUAGAUUUGUGUAGAGCUGUCAGUUGCAUUUAGUCAACAGCUAUCAAUACCUUUCCUUGUCCAAAAAAUCUGAUAUGACAAGUUUUAAAUUUGGGCCAUCUGUUUUGAAUAAAUGUUGUUUUGAUCCAGUUACACAUUUUGGGUGCAAUACGGUAAUAAAAUGUUGUGUACAGUCAGGAAAUGUGUUCACUUUGUGCCUUUUGUGUAUAUAAAGCUACUGUAUUAUGAUUGAGGGGACAGAACUUAAAAUUGAACCAUAGAUGUAUGAAUGAUUUUUAUCACUUGUUUAUUUUCAUGUUUAUCACUUUACUUUGUAUAACUUAAUGUACAGAUGUUUGUCACUUUAUUAAAGAUAUUUAAAUGUUUGCAACUUUUGUAUUGGAGUACACAGCUAAAGCUACAGUAUCUUUAAAUGCAAAAUUGACCUGGAUGCCAAAUAGAUGGGUAGUAAACCCCGAUCAACUCAAAAGAACAAGAAUUGCGACAAGCUCAGGAGACUAGGUAGUAGGGUAAGCCUACUUGAAAUGCUGAAGUAUCAUUAUUACUUGGCUAGAGGCAUUCUACAUAGCAUCCCAUUAAUACCUUUUCUGAAAUAUAAUGGAUUUUAAAGCAUCAUUUAUUUAUUUUUUUAAACAGUGGAAGCGAUAGCCAGGGCCUUAUUGUUUGCAUUGUUCCUCAGUCAUGGCACCAAGCUUUGUAGGUUGGCUUGCUUUGUGAAAAUGGUGCAACUUUAAUGGGUGAGAUAGGGAAGGGUGAACUAGAUGGUCACUUUACAAGUAAAGUUGUGGGGCUCGCUAAAGCUCUUUAAAAGUUUUGUUGUAAUGAAAGAAAAUUAAAAAGUUUAACUUUUUGAUUAUUCAAAUUGUGAAAUGAUUUUAAAUUCCCAUCGACAGUCAGUAGAUUUGGUCAGAAGUUGUGGUCAGAAGUUGUGGUCAGUUAUGUGAUCAGUAGUUAUGUGGUUCAAUAGUUGUGUGGAUAUGGUCAAAGGUUGUGAUCCCUAGAUGUCAGAAGUGUGGUUGUUGUCAGUAGUUGUGUGGUUGUGGUCCCUAGAUAUGGUCAGAAGUUGUGUGGUUGUGGUCCAAAGUUGUGUAGUUGUCAGUGCUUGUGGUCAAUAGUUCUGUGGUUGUCAGAAGUUGUGUGGUUGUGGUCACUAGAUGUGGUAAGCAGUUGUGUGGUUGCGGUUAGAAGUUAUGUGGUUGAGGUCAGGAGUUGUGUGGUUGCGAUCCCUAGAUGUGGUCAGAAGUUGUGCAGAUAUGGUCAAUAGUUAAAUGUGUGAUCAGAAGUUGUGUGGUUGUGGAAUGUGGUUGUGGUCACUAGACAUGGUAAGCAGUUGUGUGGUAUGUAAUUGUAUGGUUGUGGAUACUAGAUGUGAGGUUGUGGUCACUUCUCUCUCAUAAUUUUGGCCCUCAGUGUCAGUGUGUCCUAGCAACGGUUCUGUUUUGGAAUCUCAAUAACAACACAGAGAGCUGUUAGAAAAGAGCAGGCGAUGAGUUACUAAAUUUGCUCUGCAAAGAGAUUGGUACACACGAUUUCUAAACCGUUUUUAGGAUUUGACAAGCAGAGAAGUAGAGGAAGAUUUCAUUCCAAAAUAUUUUUGUCUAAUUGUUGGGUUAGUGGUCAAAACAGUAGUUGUCUGGAAAAUAAUACAUCUGCUAGCUUCUGACAUGAUUAACAGCAACUAGAAAGAGACAGGCGAUGGGUUACUAAAACGGCUCUAGUUUCACAUUGGCACGCACGACUCCGAAUCCGAUUGCGGAUUUGACAAGCGGAGAAGUAGAGGAAGAUUUCAUACCUCAGGAAAUGUUAGUUGGAACUGAUGAUGAUACAAUGGGGAGCCUUAGAAUCAUGAGAAAUAACACGUUAGCGUAUUUGGGCAAAAACAAAUGACGAAAAGUUUAAUAACGUAAAAAGUAUAACAGAUAUCAAAAAGUUGUAUACUCGAGCGAGACCAUUCUGCACGUUUUGACCUUUGAACGGCGUUUCUAGCUUAAACGGUGUAAAAUGAGUAGAGUGCGGAAGAAGUAUGUCGAAUAUCUAAGCUAUUAAUAUUCAGAGAGAGCACUAUCCAAUAAUGUAUAUAAACCCUGGAUUGCUAAUGUUAUGUAUUGGUCAAUGAGAGGCUUUGAAGCAACCACUCAGUCAUAUUCACACUCCCUAGAAGAAGUGUUCCAUAGGAAUGAAUGGAAUUCUACAGUGUUUCAAUUAAAUGUUUAUGGGACAAAAUUAUAUGCAUUUAAGUAUGUUUUUUAUGUUUUUUAUUUUUCAACUUUAUUUAACCAGGUAGGCAAGUUGAGAACAAGUUCUCAUUUACAAUUGCGACCUGGCCAAGAUAAAGCAAAGCAGUUCGACACAUACAACAACACAGAGUUACACAUGGAGUAAAACAAACACAGUCAAUAAUACAGUAGAAAAAUAAGUCUAUAUACAAUGUGAGCAAAUGAGGUGAGAUAAGGGAGGUAAAGGCAAAAAAGGCCAUGGUGGCGAAGUAAAUACAAUAUAGCAAGUAAAACACUGGAACGGUGGAUUUGUAUUGGAAGAAAGUGCAAAGUAGAAAUAGAAAUAAUGGGGUGCAAAGGAGCUAAAUAAAUAAAUAAAUACAGUAGGGGAAGAGGUAGUUGUUUGGGCUAAAUUAUAGAUGGGCUAUGUACAGGUGCAGUGAUCUGUGAGCUGCUCUGACAGCUGGUGCUUAAAGCGAGUGAGGGAGAUAACUGUUUCCAGUUUCAGAGAUUUUUGUAGUUCAUUCCAGACAUUGGCAGCAGAGAACUGGAAGGAGAGACGGCCAAAGGAGGAAUUGGCUUUGGGGGUGACCAGAGAGAUAUACCUGCUGGAGCGCGUGCUACAGGCGGGUGCUGUUAUGGUGACCAGUGAGCGGAGAUAAGGGGGGACUUUACCUAGCAGGGUCUUGUAGAUGACCUGGAGCCAGUGGGUUUGGCGACGAGUAUGAAGCGAGGGCCAGCCAACGAGAGCGUACAGGUCGCAGUGGUGGGCAGUAUAUGGGGCUUUGGUGACAAAACGGAUGGCACUGUGAUAGACUGCAUCAGUUUAUUGAGUAGGGUAUUGGAGGCUAUUUUGUAAAUGACAUCGUCGAGGAUCGGUAGGAUGGUCAGUUUUACGAGGGUAUGUUUGGCAGCAUGAGUGAAGAAUGCUUUGUUGCGAAAUAGGAAGCCAAUUCUAGAUUUAACUUUGGAUUGGAGAUGUUUGAUGUGAGUCUGGAAGGAGAGUUUACAGUCUAACCAGACACCUAGGUAUUUGUAGUUGUCCACAUAUUCUUAGUCAGAACCGUCCAGAGUAGUGAUGCUGCACGGGCGGGCAGGUGCAGGCAGCGAUCGGUUGAAGAGCAUGCAUUUAGUUUUAUUUGUAUUUAAGAGCAGUUGGAGGCCACGGAAGGAGAGUUGUAUGGCAUUGAAGCUUGUCUGGAGGGUUGUUAACACAGUGUCCAAAGAUGGGCCAGAAGUAUACAGAAUGGUGUCGUCUGCGUAGAAGUGGAUCAGAGACUCACCAGCAGCAAGAGGGACAUCAUUGAUGUAUACAGAGAAAAGAGUUGGCCCAAGAAUUGAACCCUGUGGCACCCCCAUAGAGACUACCAGAGGCCCGGACAACAGGCCCUCCGAUUUGACACAUUGAACUCUGUCAGAGAAGUAG